rnacentral:tRNA from 5 species
GCCGAGAUAGCUCAGCAGGUAGAGCGGCGCGUUGAAGGCGCGUGCGUCGGGGGAUCGAAGCCCUCUCUCGGCACCA